AUCUUAGAGAGGAGAAGAAGAAGAAGAAGAAAAAUAAAAGA
rnacentral:sRNA from 1 species